GAAAUGCGAUAAGUAAUGUGAAUUGCAGAAUUCAGUGAAUCAUCGAAUCUUUGAACGCACAUUGCGCCCGCCAGUAUUCUGGCGGGCAUGCCUGUUCGAGCGUCAUUUCAACCAUCAAGCCCCCGGCUUGUGUUGGGGACCUGCGGCUGCCCGCAGGCCCUGAAAACCAGUGGCGGGCUCGCUGUCACACCGAGCGUAGUAGCAUACAUCUCGCUCAGGGCGUGCUGCGGGUUCCGGCCGUUUAAAGCCUUUUUUACCCAAGGUUGACCUCGGAUCAGGUAGGAAGACCCGCUGAACUUAAGC
rnacentral:misc_RNA from 1 species